AAACCAAGAUUCGGCUUCUGCCGGACACAUAGAAAACGAGAAAGAAAGAAAAAAACGAGAGAGAGACUGGCUUAGUUUGGGAUUGAUUUCUGGAGUGCUUUUGAGAUUGCUUCUGCUUUUGGGACAAGAGCAUGGUGUUUGGUAAAAUCUUUGAAAGCUGCUUUUGGUUGGAAUUGCUUCUCUGUAAAGCUGAAAUUGAGAAGCUACAAUUUGUAGCUUUUAAAAACUGCUUUGGGAAAACACGGAGGAGCUCUCCACUGUUGUUUAAUGAAAUUGGACUUCCUGCCAAUUCUGUCCUCCUCAUCUCUCUUUGCCGUCAUUAUCAUUAUCAUUCCACAUCUCCUCCUUCCUCUUCUUCGGUGCCUGGUUCUCCAUCCUCUUCUCUCAGAUCGCCUUCUUCUUCAGCUCGUCGCUGUUGACGUCCUUCAAUUCCUGGAUUCUCGCCGGCCUCGCCUCCUUCCUCUGCGCAGACUUUGGGUCUUCUGGGUUAUGCUUCUUCUCUGCAGAUAGUUAAAGUCCCUGAAUUCGAUUCAGAUAAAACUCCUAGUCUCCAACCCAUGUGGGUCUUCUUCCUCACCAGCUAUUAAUACCCAAUUCCAGUCAUUUUUUUCUCUCUAUGUUGAUUUUCAAUCAAAGCUCUCAACUUUGAAACCUGCUAUUAGUUCCCAAUUGUCCUCAUUUUUCUUCUCUGUUGUUUUUCAAUCCAAAGUUUCAGUCUUUAAAUCAAAGCUCGCAACUUUGAACCAAAACCCACAUCAUGUCUAUUGCUUUGGACAGAAAUGGGAAUAGUGGGAAUGGUAUGAUCCCACGGUCCGGGAGGUUCAUCCAUGGGAUGCCUUGUAUUUCGAUCUACGACACAAAAGGGUUUGAUCAGGAUUGUCGUUUGGAGUUGGAGGAGGACUCUAGUAUCUCGAGGUCCUCGUCGGUUGGUAAUAACAGUGACGAGUCUAAUGGGUCGUCGGAGGGUGAGGUUCAGAGCUCGUUUAAAGGGCCUUUGGACACCAUGGACCAGCUUGAGGAGGUUUUGCCUGUCAAUUUACCAAACACCUCAGCUGCUUCUCCUCACAGCAAGUUCGGAAGUGCUUCCUCUCACAGUAAGUUCGAAAGUGCUUCCCCUCACAGCACAGCAAUCCCAAACUAAGCCAGAAUAGGGGAAGAAGGGAUAGAGGAAGAAAUUCGGAAUAAGGAAGAAAUGGGGAGAGAGAGGAAGAAGCAGAAGACGGAGCGGGAAGGAAGAAAGAGGAGAUGCAGAGGAAAGAAAGGAAAGAAGCAUGAAAAGAGGAAGAGGAUUGGAUUUUUGGGCGUGUACAAUAAUUUACAAGAGGGGUGAAAGAUUGGUGCAUGGUUCAGAUAUACAUGCAAUUGAGAUUGUUGGGUAUCUGAAAGUAGGGAACUUUGUUUCUGGGGAACUUCAAAGGUGCCCUAUUGCUUCGUUUGAUUUGGGUCGUCAAGUAUCGAAUAAGUUAUUGUUUCAUUGCAAUUUAAGCCACAGCCUUAUUAAAGGAAAAAUGAAGCACUCGCAUAUAUCUUUGUGCAAGAUGGAAACUCCUUGAUUUUAACUAAAAUUGUUAAAUUUUUUGAUGUGGUUUUUGUGUGCAGGACUCUUAUGAGGAUCUGUUUAAACAGCUGAGCAAGUAUAGACUGAUCAUUCUCAGGCUAGAAUUAUAAUUAAAGAGUUGGUCUGUUGGUGUAUGAAAAGCAAUUGGAUAGGCAAGACAGUUUCAGACCUAGUCGAAUCAAAGCUGCUGUCCAGUUGGUUAAGGAUGAGCUAGAAGCUGAAAGAAAGUUGAGAAAGCAUUCAGCCGCACUUACGCGCGUGCGUGAAGGCUAGUUGGAAUAAUGAAAUCUUCCAUCGUUACUCAUAGUUGUACUAUAUGAAUACAGGAGAAACUUGUUUGCAUUUUGUUUUGAACUAAUUUGCAAGAAACACCUUAAGCUGA